GCAGCCCUGGGAGAAGAGCCCCAGCCCUUCUGUCUGUGCUGAACCCCUCCUGUCCCCAGAACUGUCCCCACAGCCCUCAGCAUGCAGUCUGCCCUCACGUUGGUUUCCAUCCUGACCCUGCUUCAAGGUGUCCAGGGUGAUGUCCAGCUGGUGGAGUCCGGUGGAGACCUGAGACAGCCCGGGGGGUCUCUGCGCCUCUCCUGUAAAGCCUCUGGAUUCUCCUUCAGUAGCAAUUACUGGAUGAGCUGGGUCCGCCAGGCUCCAGGGAAGGGGCUCGAGUGGGUCGCAAGUAUAGCUACCAGCAGUGGCAGCACAUACUAUGCAGACUCUGUGAAAGGCCGAUUCACCAUCUCCAAGGACAACGCCAACAGCCUGGUACAUCUGCAGAUGAACAGCCUGAAAACCGAGGACACGGCCCUUUAUUACUGUGCGAGAGACACAGUGAGAGAAACCACAUCGUAAGCCUGUCAGAAACCCAGGGAGGAUUCCUGGGCUGCAGCUGUCUGGAGGAGCAGAGCAGCAGAGACCACAGACAACAGGCCCAGCCUGGAUUUCCCAUCUUCCCUCUCAAUGAUUACUAAAAGCCCCUUAUUUUACACGUUCUAACAUUUGCACAAGAGGUAAACAUUUUUCCUCUUAAGGGUGAAACAUUCCUUAAGAAUUUCUCCUCUGUUCAAUUUCUAUUUAAGCAUAUUUAUUUUCUGAUGCUCAAAUAAAACAACAAAAGACUGAAAGUCAAAAAUUCUGAAAUAGGAGAGAGUCCAGUGAUUCACCAUGGUAUGGAGUCUAUUGUUACUAAUGAAACACAUCCUAAGAACACAUUUAAUCAACUUUGCUAAUGAACACUGCACCUUCCUUCUCUGAAUUUCACCUCUAAUUUUGCGAUGGUCUCUCUGAGAAGGGCAUGUAGAGCUAGAAGCAGAAAGUGUGAGAGAGUUAGUAUAAGAGAAAUUAAAGAGGCAACAAAACUGGGUACAAUGUACUUACUGAUCCAUAAAGUUUUAAUAACUUAUUGGUUAUUUUAUGAAACCUGUUGUGAAGGGUUUAUCAGUGAAGAGGAAACAGAUGACACCAGACUGAAUGGAAACAGCAUCCAAGCAAUCAGUAGUAUUUCUUAAUCAGCAAUCAAUCAUCAAUCACAUUUAUUGAGCAUUUACUGUGCCCAAUAUUCCCAUAACUUUUCCUCACCCUCCAUAAUCAUCUGGGAUCUUUGUAUACUACCCAGUGAAAGAUAUUUCUCUCCAGUCUAACAAAAUUCAUAUCGUAGAAGCAUUGAGGAAUCCCAAAGAGUGUAUUGAACAUAGAUACCAUUUUGCUAAAGUUUCCCAA